GCAGAAUGCAAGGUGACAGCCACUGAGCAGAGCGCUGCGGAAAAAGGGUAGGAGAAAAGUCAGUCAGCCUGGAAAGACAAUCCAAAGAUUAAGGAUCUGACCAAAACUGCUGAAGACCAGAAGAAUGAAAUAGAA